rnacentral:rRNA from 1 species
UACGGAGGGUGCAAGCGUUAUCCGGAUUCACUGGGUUUAAGGGUGCGUAGGCGGAUAUGUAAGUCCGUGGUGAAAUCUCUGGGCUUAACCCGGAAACUGCCAUGGAUACUAUGUGUCUUGAAUGUUGUUGAGGUGAGCGGAAUAUGUCAUGUAGCGGUGAAAUGCUUAGAUAUGACAUAGAACACCAAUUGCGAAGGCAGCUCACUAAGCAAAUAUUGACGCUGAGGCACGAAAGCGUGGGGAUCAAACAGG